CACUCUUGAAGAUUACGUGCCGUGAUCAGUCUUACGCCGAGCGUGAAUCGGAUCGGUGACUUGAGCGAAGAAGGCAGCAAGCAAAGCGAAGUUUAGUUAGCUAGUUGAUGAAACCCUUAAGGAGCGACUUCCAACGGCACAACAGUUUCACCGAGUAAAGUCUACGUGCGCUCUGUCCACAAACUUCACUGUGUAUAGCUCACUAGCUCUAGUUCUAUUUAAACUUACGCAAAGAACUUAGCAUCCUCAGAGAGAAGGAAAAGGCGCUGAGCAUCAUGAAUAAGUGACGGUUUGGCGCGUGAUGAACACAAUGCGAAAUUUUACUCUGCUUUACUGGACCUGCCCGACCCUGGACCUCUAUGGCUGGCCAGCAGAAUACAUUGACCCUGGUUGUUUCGACCUCAUUAUUUCCACCUAAACGCCUUCAUUGCUGCGAUGCGACAUUGAUGAUUAAAUUCAAAAUUAAGGUGGAUCCCUGGCCGAUAUUGUCAUAAGCGUCUUUAGUAUUUUAAAAGUCUGUGUACUUUUCUUUCAUUUUUUUCAUUAUUUGUUUUGUUUCUUUGUUUACCAAAUCCUAUUUUUUCUUUGGUUUUUCUUGUAGUUUCAUAUUUUUAUACUUAGGCUUUUGAACAAUUUUUCAUUAGAUUAAAGCAUUAUAAAUUAAGCUUAAUUACUUAUUUUCAUUUAACCAGAGAUCAAGCAUUAUAAUAAAUUAUUUCUAACAUUUUUUAAAUCUAAGAAGCAUUAAAUAAUUUUAUGUUGCGAAAAUUUACAUUACCUAUUUAAAAUAUUCGUGUUACCUAAAUUCUUCUCACAAAAUUACUUUUUAUUGAAUUUACUCAAAUAUUAUGAUCAAUAUUUUAAUUACUUGAUAAAUGAAUUAGCUUUGCUUAACAUAAUUUUAUUAUUGGCUUAAAGACAUUUAUAUUUGGUUUCAUUCUAUCAUUUUUAAUAUUUUUUCAUUAAAAAAUUCGUAUUAUGUUUUUUUGUUAUAUGCUUCUAAAUUUCUUCAACAUUUUAUUUGUAUCGAUACAUUUAUUGGAUUUAUACAUAUAAUCGUUGCUAUUAACUUAAUUUACAAGGAUACAAACUAUUUCAAAGAUGUUAAAUUAUUUAGAUUUACGAAAGUAAUUAGAAUACGAAACAUUACCUGUUGCCGCGUUGUUAUAAGAGAGUACAUAGAGUGGUAAUAUUUUUUUUACUUACAAAUGUAAUUUAAUGUAACA